CAUAUCAAUUAAGCGGAGG
rnacentral:rRNA from 1 species